rnacentral:rRNA from 1 species
UACAGAGGAGCCAAGCGUUGUCCGGAUUGACUGGGCGUAAAGCGCACGCAGGCGGACGCGCGCGUGGGGUGUGAAAUCUGGCCGCUUAACGGCCAGGCGCCAUCCCAUACGGCGGGUCUGGAGCCUUGCAGAGGUCGGUGGAAUUGCCGGUGUAGUGGUGAAAUGCGUAGAGAUCGGGAGGAACAUCAGUUGCGAAGGCGGCUCUCUGGACCAGCACUGACACUGAGGCACGAAAGCGUGGGGAGCAAACAGG